AACAAGACAACACAUACACACUGGAUUCAGGUCUACAUGUGGAGAUAAUUCAUUCAAUACCAACAAAGGGUGCAUUUCCAGUGCUAAAGGAAGAGACGUUUUAUGAUGCAAAGAGAAAAAGUAAAGAGAAAAGAUAUAAAGGCAGAAGAUACCACAGUCUUUGAGGAAAUGGCGAGUAUUCAAAAUGCUAUUGAACUUGGGGGUGCUAUAACUGGUAGGCACCUUGACAGUUUUAUUCCAUGGCCAAACAAAAUCCCUAGUUUGACA